rnacentral:lncRNA from 1 species
AUCAAUCGAUGGAUGAUCCUGGUAAUCACAUGAGUUACGAAGCUCUCUAUAAAUGUGCUGUAAAAUUGAUUUUGGACAAUAAAUGUUAGACUCUAUAAUAGCUAAAUUUUAAACAUAUUCAGUAAAAAUAUAAUACUUACAACCGACUCUGAAUAUGGAUGAGAUCUUUAUUCUUCAGUCGAGUCAAAGGUGCUGCAAGCCGGAUGGAUCCUCUACCA